rnacentral:lncRNA from 1 species
GAGAUCUCACAGAUGCGAAGGACAGGCUACAAUGGAUUACACAGAACAGGUAGCUGAGAUUGAAGCCUCCGCCCACUUUGGAGACCUGAUUGAAUUCAGCUAUCCUAUUGGCUACUCUCACUGGGGUGUCUACGAUGGGGAUGGAUACGUCAUACAUUUUGCAGUUGCAGAUGAGACCCAGGUGAUGAACACUUUCCGAGGCUACCUCCAAACCGUGUUCCCGGUCUGCGGGGAUCUACUCAUCGGGGAGACCAAAAUCCGCCGGGUGCCUGUCAAAGAAGUCACCGUCCCAAAGGGGGCGCACAUCUUAGUGUGCAACAACCGGCACGCUCUAAAACCAUCCACCCCAGAGGAGAUGAGGAUCCGCCGAGACGCGCUGCUGGAUAAAGAGCUCAAUUAUAAACUCUUCUCGCUGAACUGCGAACACUUUGCUACAUUCGUGCGAUACGGGAAAGCAGUGUGUAACCAGAUCCCAGGAAAGACCAAAAAUAAGGAGUGUGAGGAGGCCACCAAAGUAUUUGCGGAGAUUGUGACUAACUAUUACUCUUGAUUUGAUUAUGUAACAAAAACAGUGCAAACACAUGUUUAAUUGUAAUAUAAAUAAAUAAAUAUUAAAUUUC